ACGGCCAUACCACAUUGAAAACGCCGGUUCUCGUCCGAUCACCGAAGUUAAGCAACGUCGGGCCUGGUCAGUACUUGGGAGGUUGACCACCUGGGGUGCUGUAGGAU
rnacentral:rRNA from 1 species